rnacentral:rRNA from 1 species
AGCGAACGCUGGCGGCGUGCCUAACACAUGCAAGUCGAACGGGAAUAGAUUCGUCUUAGUACCGUGGCGAACGGGUGAGUAACGCGUGGGUAAUCUGGCCUUUUGGUGGGGGAGUAACCAUUCGAAAGGAUGGCUAAAAACUGCAUAAGACCCAAUAAUCGGGAGAUUUAUGGGUGAAAGGGUGCUUAGGCACCUGCCGAAGGAUGAGCCCGCGUCCCAUUAGCUAGUUGGUGGGGUAAUGGGCCUACCAAAGGCUGAGAUGGGUAGCUGGUCUGAGAGGAUGAUCAGCCACACUGGGACUGAGACACGGCCCAGACUCCUACGGGAGCAGCAGUGGGGAAUAGUUGCGCAAUGGGGGGAAACCCUGACGCAGCAACG